rnacentral:lncRNA from 1 species
UAUAUCUAUGCUUAGUUUGCUAAAUAAAUAAAUAAAGUUUGCUAUGAACCCUCAUGAUAAGCUCUCACAUGGAAAUGAUGAAUAGUUGCUUUGCCAUGGCUAGUUCUCAAAAUUGAAAUCUCUCUCAAGUUUAGGCAUGAUUGUUAUGAAUUAAAUUUGCUCUAAACCUGAACUUGUGGGAAGAGUACUUGAUCUAAAGUCUAAGUCGUUAACGGAUAUGAUAUGGGAAGGUUGAGCUGUUGUUUAUCUGUUCCUAGAGAUGCUAGAAUUCUAGAGAAUUUUAUCUUUGAAAAUCUUUAAAAUGUUGCAUGAUGAGUUCCUGUAUGAUGAGAGUUUAAAAUCCUACCACAGCGACAUAUAUAUGCUUAUUAGACUAUGAACCGUACAUUUACUUUUUACUACUUAUGAGCAUUGAGUGUGGUCAAGUUAUGUAGACCCCUAGGAACUUGUCAUGCGGUUAGAUUCAAGAUUCACUGGUACAUUCACUCAUACAUGCUACUUCUACUCUGGAAGUACGCAUCCACUCAUUUUCAUCUCCAGAUUCACCUAAAAUGAUUCUACUCCUAUCCGGGAGAGAAUAGCCAAAAACAUUAUCCUAUACCUGUUAUUCCCCAUGAAAUAAAUGCUUGAGAUAUUUUGGUUACUACCAUUUGCUACAUUAUUCUAGGAGGGUGAGUGCUCUGAAAAAAAUAAUAAUAAAUAUGAGGAAAUAAUAAGGGGCAAGUGCCCGGAACCUCGAAGAAAAGAAAAAGUGAGACGAGAGGUAAAAUGGACAAGUGUCCGACAGUAGAAUUAGGGGUACAAGAUACCCACCUGAGAGAAAAGAAAAAGAAAAUAUAGAGCAUCUCAUUCCCCUCAAAAAGCUUCAAGUGCAAGAAAGGUAUGUAUCUCCUCAAAAGAGCAAAAGUAGAAUUAGACUUUCACCAUUCUUAUCACCAUACACCAUUCACUCGCCACACAUGCACAUCUUGAUUUGACUUAUUGACUUGUUUCUCUAGACCUUUGGUUUGACUAUGCAAUAAAUGUCUUGUAAGUAUGUAUUAUCUGUCUCCCACCUAUGAGCUCCAGAUAUCAAAACCUUAUUAGAGUAGGGUGAGAGAGAAGGCAAUAUCACUAUGCCUCAUACCAAAAAUACCACAUACUUUGAGAGAAGGCAUAUACCAUUACUACCUUGGAAAGGAUCCAAAAAUACCACAAA